GGGCAAUAGCACAAAACUGGACACAUAUAGAGCUGCCCCCGAUGUUCUUGGUACUCACGGGGUAAUGGGAUAACUACCUUAUGGACAAACUAACGGCACACAACAAAGUCAGGAACACGACAGGCACAUUUCAUAGGUUCUGUGAGCUAUGCGAGGAAUACGACACCUAGGGUACACACCAACACAGGGGUCAUAUCUUCUAACCAACACACUACAGAUAUGGAGUCACUAAAAAAGAGAAGAGGGGGAACCCCAGCCUGCAG